AAUAUUUGACACUGGGGGCAACCCUGAUCCAGCCAUGCCGCGUGUGUGAAGAAGGACUUCGGUACGUAAAGCACUUUAAGUUGGGAGGAAGGGCUUUAGGCUAAUACCCUGAAGUUUUGACGUUACCAACAGAAUAAGCACCGGCUAACGCUGUGCUAGCAGCCGCGGUAAUACAGAGGCUCAAAGAGUUAAUCGGAAUUACUGGGCGUAAAGCGCGCGUAGGUGGUUCAGUAAGAUGGGUGUGAAAUCCCCGGGCUUAACCUGGGAACUGCCUUCAUAACUGCUGAGCUAGAGUACGGUAGAGGGUAGUGGAAUUUCCUGUGUAGCGGUGAAAUGCGUAGAUAUAGGAAGGAACACCAGUGGCGAAGGCGACUACCUGGACUGAUACUGACACUGAGGUGCGAAAGCGUGGGGAGCAAACA
rnacentral:rRNA from 1 species